rnacentral:rRNA from 1 species
UUUUAACUUUAGUGGCGAACGGGUGCGUAAUACGUGAGAAUCUGCCCUUAGGAGAAGAAUAACUGCUGGAAACGGCUGCUAAAUCUUCAUAUGUCGAGAGAUGAAAUAGCUUAGGCUGCCUAAGGAUGAGCUCACGCCUGAUUAGCUAGUUGGUGAGGUAAUGGCUCACCAAGGCCACGAUCAGUAGCUGGUUUGAGAGAACGAUCAGCCACACUGGGACUGAGACACGGCCCAGACUCCUCCGGGAGGCAGCAGUGAGGAAUUUUCCGCAAUGGGCGAAAGCCUGACGGAGCAAUACCGCGUGAGGGAUGAAGGAUUUUGGUCUGUAAACCUCUUUUCUCAAGAAAGAAGUUCUGACGGUACUUGAGGAAUAAGCAUCGGCUAACUCCGUGCCAGCAGCCGCGGUAAUACGGGGGAUGCAAGCGUUAUCCGGAAUCAUUGGGCGUAAAGCGCCUGUAGGUUGUUUAAUAAGUCUGUUGUUAAAGACUAGGGCUUAACCCUAGAAAAGCAAUGGAAACUACUA